AGUAGACAAAAUUACAACAAAGUGGGUUAGUGGCAGAUUACCAAGUGAAAUUUGAGCAACUGAUUACACUGGCAGGUGUCCUUACCCAAGCACAAAAAAUUGAGCUCUACAUCAGCGGUCUUUCAUAGUACAUUGCAGUCAAGGUGGAACUACACAAUCCUACAGAUUUGGCAAUUGUAAUGAGCAUGUCUCGGCUUUAUGAACGAAAAGGGAAUUUCGUCAGGUCUCCAAUGAAGGAGGCUAGGAGAGUUGAACCUCCUGAGCCAUCGUCAACUUUACGCCCCAUAUUUGUUAAAAAAUUAAACAGGGUUCAGAUGGAAGAAAGACAACUUAAAGGCCUUUGUUACAACUGUGACGAAUGAUUCGUUAGGGGGCAUCAAUGUAAGAGAUUGUUUUGGAUUGAAUCAAUAGAUGAAGGGGAUGACGAACUAAAAAAACCUGAAUCAGGUAUAAGCAAUGAUCCACCAGAGGUAUCAUUAAAUGCCAUUGUGGGAAUAACCACCCCUCAGACCAUGCGAUUGCAAGGAAAACUGAAUGGUGCAAAGGUUUUGAUUCUGAUAGAUUCUAGCAGUACCCACAGCUUCAUAGACUCCAAGUUAGUAUCACAAAUCAACAUUGCAACGGAAAAGAGUGAGGGAUUGCGUGUCGUGGUGGCAAAUAGAGAAAAAAUUAAUAGUCCUAGGCGGUGCAAAGGAAUUCCCCUUCGGUUAGGAACUCACAAUUUCCUUAUUGAUUUCUUUAUUCUAACCUUAAGUGGCUUGAUGUGGUAUUAGGUCUAAAUUGGCUCAAUACCAUGAGCACGUCUUUUACCAUAUUUGGUGAACAGGUAGAAUUAUGGGGACUUAAAACUCCAAAAGCAACUCAAUUGGUUGCAAUUCAAUCAACAUCGAUCACAGCUGAUCACGAUGCAGAUUUAAAUCAACUCCUACAGAAUUUUUCUUCUUUAUUUUAGGAACCAGAUGGAUUACCUCUGCCCAUCGCUGUGAUCACCGGAUUCUCCUAGAAUCUAGAACCAAACCGAUAGUAGUCUAACCAUAUCGCUAUCCACGUGCUUAGAAAGAUGAGAUUGAGCGGCAAUGUUCAAAAAUGUUAAAGCAAGGUAUUAUUUGGCUCAGUCAAUCAACAUUUUCAUCUCCUGUGUUAUUGGUUCCCAUGUCAGACUGCUCAUGGUGUAUUUGCAUUGACUAUCGGGAAUUGGAUGCUAAAAUGACAAAAGACAAAUUCCCCAUUCCAGUAAUUGAUGAAUUGUUAGAGGAACUAUUUAGAGCACUAUAUUUCACUAAAUUGGAUAUGAAAUUGGGGUGCCACCAAAUUUGCAUGAAGGAAGCUGAUUUGAGAAAACUGCCUUCCAUACACACCACGGCCACUUUGAAUUCCUAGUCAUGCUUUUCGGAUUAACAAAUGCCCCAUCUACUUUUUAGGCAUUGAUGAAUGAGAUAUUCUGCAAUUACUUACAGAAUUUUGUUUUGGUAUUUUUUGACGACAUUCUUAUUUACAGUCGUUCUUUGAUAAAGCAUAUCAACCAUUUGCGAACGGUCUUCCAAUUGCUUUCUGUAAAUAAGCUAUGCUUGAAGCAAUCUAAAUGUUCAUUUGCUCAAAAUCAAAUUGCUUAUUUGGGACACACAAUCACAGUAGAAGGGGUUGUUACGGAUGCAAACAAAAUUUCAACCAUGACUAAAUGGCCUAAGCCCACAAAUAUUCGAGGCUUGAGAGGUUUUUUGGGCCUCAAAAGGAAGGUAUUACCGCAAAUUUAUUCAUAAUUAUGGUUCCAUUGUAGCUCCCUUAACAAACAUGCUUGGCAAAAAUUCUUUCACUUGGACUGAGGAAUCUUCUAAGUAUUUGAAAAACUAAAGACAACCAUGAAUACCACACCAGUGUUAGCACUUCCAGAUUUUUCUCAAUCUUUUAAGAACUUCUAUUGGACUAGAAUGAAAUCUCUCAUUCGAGACUUUGUUCAGGCUUGUAGUAUUUUCCAAAGACACAAAAUAGAGACCCUCCAACUUGCAGGUCUUCUCCAACCUUUACCAGUGCCAAAACAGAUUUGGUCAGAUAUUUCGCUAGACUUCGUCGAAGGUCUACCCCUUUCUCAUGGUAAAAGUGUUAUUCUGGUAGUUGUUGAUCGUUUUUCAAAAUAUUGCAAUCUAUUACGAGUUGCUCAUCCAUAUUUGACUGUUAGUAUUCCUGCAUCUUCUUUGACAAUAUUUUUAAAUUACACGGCUCAUCGGAGACAAUGGUGAGUGGCAGGGAUGUCACAUUUGCAAGUGCCUUUUGAAAAGAACUUUUUCGGCUUAGUGACACUAAAUUAUGUUUUACUUUAGCAUAUCAUCUACAAUCCAAUAGCCAGACAAAAGUAGUAAAUCGUACAUUGCACAGUGGAAAUGUAUUUACGAUGUUUUAUGAGUGCUUACCCAACUAAAUGGAUGGAUUGGUUAUCUUGGGUAGAAUAUUCUUAUAAUUCUAAUUUCCAUUCAUCAUUAUUAACCACUCCAUUUGAGGUGGUCUAUGGGCGUCCACCUCCACGUCUCUUGUCCUACUACCCUGGAGUCUCAAAAUUGGACGCCGUGGAAAAGGCCUUCAAGUCUAGGGAUGAGAUGUUAGCCUCAUUAAAACAGAACUUGCUGCAUGCGCAAAACAAAAUGGAGUGUGUGUGUGAUGCCAAACAUUAGAAACUGGAAUUUCAAGUUGGAGAUAUGGUUCUUUUGCGCCUACAACCUUAUCGCCAAUUGUCCAUGGCAAAUCGUCAUCAUCAAAAACUUUUACCGAAGUUUUAUGGCCCUUUCACAAUUGUGCAACGUAUUGGAAAUAUGGCUUAUUAGUUGGACUUACCGCCGGAGACUAAAAUUCAUCCGGUGUUUCAUGUCUCAUGUUUAAAGACGCAUCUUGGGAUGCUGUAUCAUCAAUGCAGCAACGAUUCCCAAACUUUUUGCUUGAGGACAAGCAUCAUUUGGAGGACGGGAGUAAUGCUAGCGCUACAUCAGCUAACAGUGGCACAACAGAUAAGGUUGAUCCAAAUGGGCCAGCAGAAGCGAAUCCUAAUCUCAUAAGGUACAAGAGAUUCACACAUGGAAAGUCUAGAAGGCAUCAACAUCAGAUGGCAUCAAGAUAAAUUACCAGAAUUUUAACUAAAUAAAAACCAGGAUCAGAUCAUUCCUGUCUUGAAUUUAUCUUAUCAUUUAGUUGUCAAUUUAUGUUUUAGAGAUAAUUUUCAAUUUCUUGUUUUAAGGAUGGUUAUACCAUCAUGCUGUAUUUAAAGGCAGUCUAGUUUAAUAAAAGAUCAUCAAGAAAUUCAUUCA